rnacentral:lncRNA from 1 species
CACAACAGAAAACUAUCACAGUACUGCGAGUCCUUCAAACACAGACACACAAUCCACGGAGCACAGUACCACUGAAGAAAGUCCAUCCAAUGUGAUGCCUGAGUUGCAGCGGAGACUACCGGAAGAUACUCUCUUCCACCUAGAGCCAAUAGAGGAGUUCCUCCAAAACGGUACUCCCCAGAGAGGGAAACCAGAAAUUCAAGAUAUCCUGUAGCUAAUAUGGUCAACGGGAACUUAUCUAACAGUGCAAAAGCAUUUGUUGCUUCUCUAUACACUGAACAGAUACCUACUUCCGUAAAGGAAGCUCAAGGUAAGAAGAACUGGGAAGAAGCAAUGGAAGUGGAGAUGCGUGCUCUUAUGAAAAACAAUACAUGGGAGAAGUGCAUUCUUCCUAAAGGAAAGAAAACUGUUGGAUGCCGGUGGGUGUAUUCGAUUAAAUAUAAACCAGAUGGUUCCAUUGGAAGAUACAAAGCCCGACUUGUAGCCAAAGGGUACACUCAGACGUAUGGGAUCGAUUACUCGGAGACAUUUUCUCCGGUUGCAAAAAUGGAUACCAUCAGAGUCCUCUUUUCCGUUGCAGCUAAUAAGGAUUGGCCCCUUCAUCAAUUUGAUGUUACAAAUGCAUUUCUUCAUGGAGACCUAACUGAAGAAGUUUACAUAGAAGCACCUCCAGGUUUUUCAGGG